rnacentral:rRNA from 1 species
UGAGCAAUCUGCCCUUCUCAUCGGAAUAAGCGUUGGAAACGACGUCUAAUGCCGAAUACGACCUCCUUUCGCAUGAUCGGAGGUGGAAAGCUCCGGCGGAGAAGGAUGAGCUCGCGGCCUAUCAGCUAGUUGGUGUGGGUAAUGGCCCACCAAGGCGACGACGGGUAGCCGGCCUGAGAGGGUGACCGGCCACACGU